rnacentral:rRNA from 1 species
GCCACACUGGCACUGAAACACGGGCCAGACUCCUACGGGAGGCAGCAGUGGGGAAUCUUGCACAAUGGAGGAAACUCUGAUGCAGCGACGCCGCGUGAGCGAUGAAGCCCUUCGGGGUGUAAAGCUCUUUCGACGGGAACGAUAAUGACGGUACCCGGAGAAGAAGCUGCGGCUAACUACGUGCCAGCAGCCGCGGUAAUACGUAGGCAGCGAGCGUUGUUCGGAAUUACUGGGCGUAAAGAGUGUGUAGGCGGUGCUCUAAGUCUGUUGUGAAAUCUCCCGGCUUAACUGGGAGGGUGCGGCGGAAACUGGAAUGCUAGAGGGUGGGAGAGGUAAGCGGAAUUCCUGGUGUAGCGGUGAAAUGCGUAGAUAUCAGGAGGAACACCUGUGGUGUAGACAGCUUACUGGACCACUUCUGACGCUGAGACACGAAAGCGUGGGUAGCAAACAGGAUUAGAUACCCUGGUAGUCCACGCCCUAAACGAUGCAUACUUGGUGUGAGCGAUUCAUUUCGUUCGUGCCGGAGCUAACGCGUUAAGUAUGCCGCCUGGGGAGUACG